rnacentral:lncRNA from 1 species
UUUGGGAACCCCAUCCUGUCCUGAGCGGCCUUCAGGCCACCAGGCCAUCAAGAGGCUAGUGACGGGACAGAAAAGGGUGAGAUCACUCAGCCGAGGACAGGACCAAAGCAGGUUUCCUUAAGGACAAAGGAAAUGUGUUCUCACCUCCUCCAGAGAAAAGGGAGGGGCCCUUGUCAUUCUCCCAUUUAAGCUCUUCCACAUCCAGUAUCUCAGCGCAGCCAUCCGAGGCACUAGACUGAUUCCUGCAAAUCAUGGGUCAUAUGCAGCUCUGAAGGUGUCUCCACCAUGUCGCCGACCAGAAAGACAGCCUGCACCUUGCUGAGAACUCACGGAAAUAAAUGCACAAGUCUAAUGUG